UUCGUGGGCUGUUUAAAUGUUGCUCUGAUCAUGUCUUUUAUUUCCAUGGGGGAAAAGAGAAAAGGGCAACAGGCAGGAAGAAAAAAAUAAGGAUCGAAAAUGAAAUAAAGCGAUAAAGGGAUUCCUCCACGUGCGUCCUAUAUUUUUGACAAAUGGGCCUUUCGUGCGCAAACUUCAUCAUCAAAUUGGUUCAAGAAUAAAUUGCUGGAAGUGAACUUUCUAAUAUUAGCCCUUGUGACAGCCAAUGAAGAUGGAUGGGACAAAGCAAGGACUUCACUCUGCAGAGGAGGAGCUCUCUUUGCCCACUGUGGUGGCUAACGGCAAAUUUGUUUUGAAAAGAAAAAAAAAUAGAAUCAUCUAAUUGCUUAAUUCUGUGGAAAGCCACUGCCAACAAGCCAGCUCAAAUACAUAGACUUUUGUUAAACAAGUAACUGUAAAACUCUCACAUACACAUCCAAUAAAAACCUCAGUUUUUUCCCAUUA